rnacentral:lncRNA from 1 species
AUUCAAGGUGGACGAAUGCAUACUCUUUUAUAACGUAUUGGAACGAGGGUACCCAACAUGAACUCGCGCGCCAGGUGUCUAAUGGGACAUCAUCGUUCCAUGGCUCUUGUUCGGUCAGAUCUCCCUCCAGAAGACUCAACACUUUGUAAAGGCUGGUGACAUCUAGUGGAAGCAAUAGGAAGUGCCAAAAUAUUCCUAAACCCCUGUGUUUUUCAAUGGGAUAGGUUUAAAGUCAAUACAACACAUCAGGUAUCCACUUCCUGUCAGAAAAUGUCUCAGGGUUUUGCCUGCCAAAUGAGUUCUCUUAUACUCAC